rnacentral:rRNA from 1 species
GACGAACGCUGGCGGCGUGCUUAACACAUGCAAGUUGGACGGAAAGGCUCCAGCUUGCUGGAGUACUCGAGUGGCGAACGGGUGAGUAACACGUGGGUAAUCUGCCCUGCACUCUGGGAUAAGCCUGGGAAACUGGGUCUAAUACUGGAUAUGACCUUUCUCCUUAUGGGGUUUGGUGGAAAGUUUUUCGGUGUAGGAUGAGCCCGCGGCCUAUCAGCUUGUUGGUGGGGUGAUGGCCUACCAAGGCGACGACGGGUAGCCGGCCUGAGAGGGUGAUCGGCCACAUUGGGACUGAGAUACGGCCCAGACUCCUACGGGAGGCAGCAGUGGGGAAUAUUGCACAAUGGGCGGAAGCCUGAUGCAGCGACGCCGCGUGAGGGAUGACGGCCUUCGGGUUGUAAACCUCUUUCAGCAGGGACGAAGCGUAAGUGACGGUACCUGCAGAAGAAGCACCGGCUAACUAUGUG